rnacentral:rRNA from 1 species
UACGUAGGGCGCAAGCGUUGUCAGGAAUUAUUGGGCGUAAAGAGCUCGUAGGCGGCUUGUCACGUCGGGUGUGAAAGCCCGGGGCUUAACCCCGGGUCUGCAUUCGAUACGGGCUAGCUAGAGUGUGGUAGGGGAGAUCGGAAUUCCUGGUGUAGCGGUGAAAUGCGUAGAUAUCGGGAAGAACACCCGUGGCGAAGGCGGCUCUCUGGGACGGUACUGACGCUGAGACGCGAAAGCGUGGGGAGCGAACAGG